CCGCCUGCAGCUCCCGGUGCCACCUGUGCCCACAGCACGGUUCCAUGGGCACCUGCUCUUCUCAUGCAGAAAUGCCUCGAAAGCGUAAUGAAACCUUUUCUACAGGUUUGUUUGUCUUCCACGGUGGUUUCGGGCCAAUGUAAAUCAAUGGAAAAAAAAAGUCACAGCUCAGAAGAGCAGCGUGGAAACUUCCAUCACAGAGCUGUCAGAGUGAGCAUCUGGAGCAGCCAGGAAUAAUAUUUAACUUUCUGUUGAGCCGUUAUGAGAUGGACACAGCGAGCACAGCCAAGCUGAGCAUCUGAUAGCGCGGCGCUGCUGAUGGGUCGGGGCUGACUGAGGGCAGGGAGAAAUGCCACGGGGCACCGGGGGGAACGGUCUACAAAUGGGAGAGCUUUCAGAAAGGGCUGCUUUGGCUCAGCCAGACGCUGCCACCAUCACUUCAUGCACUGCCUGCACGGCUCCUUUCCCUUGGGAAAACACGGCAAACCGUCCUUCCAACCCGCCGUGCUGCGGUCCUUCCAGGAGAUGGAAAGCACCUCAAUCCCAGCGCCUGCUGAGGGCUGUCUGCAGUGUCUGUAUGGAGAGCGGCCUGCAGGGCUGGAUCAGCCAUCUGUUUUGAUUUCUCAUUCUAACAAAAGUGGGGAGAGCUGAUUGUAACGGCACAGGCGCAGCUCCCGCAAUGGGGCUGAGGGGCAGGCAGGGUGUCGGUGCCGGGUGGGCUCAGCCCUGUGCUGAGCACUCACUGCAGCCCUGGGACGUGCCAUGGCACAUGGCUCCGCUUCUGCUUUAGAGAGGGAUGGAAAAUCUUUACCUCAUUUGCUAAAAGCACUUCACUGACUUUAAAUGGGGGGGGGGAAGGGAUUAAACAUAUCACUAAUUUGUCUCAUUUAAUUCAGUCAGCAGGACUGAAAGCACUGCUCUGUGUUGAGGCUCAGAGCAUUGAUUACUCCAUGUUCUGCCCCUGUUUCUCUUCCAUUUCACUCCUGUGUUCUCUUUUCAUUUCUUGCCGUGAGCACCACACAGACAAGCUGCAGUUGGACAGAGCACAUGUGGGACAAUCGCUGCCUCCACCAAAGCACUGAAUCGUUGCCUCCAACGAAGUAAAGGACGAACUGCCCUCAGUAUUUCUCAGCACUCAGCCGAAGGACCAUCGGGAGAGGCAGGAUUCCACCGGAGUGCUCUCAUGAAGUGCUGAGGUCCCGGAGGGGCUCAGGCACACAGCAGGCAUUGCUGCGCUCAGCAUCACUGCAGUCACUGCGGCGGUCCCCGCACUCACAUGGCCUCGUGGCUCCAAUCCCCGACCCCCGAUGGACAAAAGCACCCCGACGCCCCACACCCCGCACGGCCGGGGCUCUGCGCCCGGGCUGGGGCGGGUGUGGGGCACAGCGGUGCGACCCCCCGAUCCCAGCAGGACCGCCUGACGCACCGAGCUGGGAAGUGUGCGCACGGAUAUCCACCCACGCUUAUUUCUGACUUUAGAGGGAAAUCAGCACGCACAGUGACGCGAAGUAGCACGGAAAGGUCAUUUAAAGGCACUGUCACACGCGGUCCACAGACAUCAGUUCUCUCGAUCUCCUGUCGGCACCCACAGUUCCCGAGUGCCGCACGUCAGCCCGGAGAUGGGGCCACGGAACCGCAGAGCUCCGCCGUGCGUUACCACUCGGAGCGCCGCGACCGCCGGGCGCCCCUCCCCGCCCCUCCCGACGUCCCGACGCGCCGCUCCGAGCUCCGCCCGUGGCCGCUCCGAGCUCCGCGGUGUUGGCGGGCGCUGCCCUCUGGCGGCCGCGGGGCUGCGCGGACCUCCGGCUGAGCGGGGAUCGCCGACGGCGCUUCUGCUGAUACCGCGGAAUCCGCAGCUGAAGUUGCGCUUAAACCCCCGCGUGCCCGCAUGGAGCCCCGCGCAGCUGCACGGCUCCCACCCGGGACGGAGCUGCGGGGCGAGCACAGCGCAGAAGUUCCGCUCCGGUCCCGCACUGCAUUCCCGGUAGCCGUUGGCAGAGCCGCGCGUGUCCGCGCAGCACCGCGAGCCCACGCAGUGCCCCUCUCAAACAGCAGCCGCCGUCUCCGCUCCCCUGCCAAAGCAGCUCUCUCCAUUUCAAGAUAAUCUCGUACUGAUUGACGGACGUUAACGAGCUAAACGGCUUAGAGCGGCUCAGAGUUCAGUGCUGGGGAACGCGCCGUAGCAGCAACAGAUGCAGUCGUGAUCACCCCAAACGCUCCCAGCACAGCCCCGUGCAGCUCCAGGCGGUCACAUCACCGCCGUGCCCGGGGACACGGACGAGCCACGGCUGUGGGGCACGCGCGGAUUCUCCUCGCCCAGGAAGGGACGCUGCUCAGCCCGGCACGCCGUGCCCACGUGGCGGCCCAUAAGGACGUCCCCCACACCCCUGCGGGCUGAGCAUGGCGCUUGUAAGCGUUUGCAUCUGCAUCCCAAUUAAACGUUCCCUGCCUCCCCUAUUUAUGGACUUACUGUCUUCUUCACACAGCUCUGCAGCGUUUCCAUUGGCAGGACAGCACGUCUCACUGGGCUGAAACUGAGAGCAGAGCGCAGCGCGAGCAACAGAACCUCCCCUGGAGGCGAGGACAGCGCAGCCCAGCACGAGUACCAGCAUCCCUGCCCAUCCCGGCGGCACCCACCUCCCCACCUGCACUCUCAUCCCUGGAGGUUCAGUGUGGGGACCCUCCGGGCAAAGACUUGUUCCCAUUCGGGGAUGCUCCUGUUGGGUUUGCAGAAAGGCAUUUUAAAUGAAAGACAAACAGGACGAGCCCACCUCCAAGCAGUGGCUCCAUCUACAUGGCAUCAUCAGCGCACAGGACAGAGGACCCAACCGCUCUAGCUGACGGCAUCGCACCAUACGUUACAGAGACAACACCCACGGGGAGGACAACGACCGCGACGAGGGACGGCCCGCAGCAGUUCCUGAGGUUUCCUGACGGAACCGAAGCGCAGCACAGCACGCAGCCCGGCGCCGGGAGCCCCUCAGCCUCGGGACGGCCGGUGCCGCACCGCGAAAACCACAGCGCUGCCGUUCGGAACGCAGUCCGGCAUUAGCAGAGGGGCGCCGCAGGACGGGAGACGCGUGGCCAUCGCUGCCCCACGGCCGGGCCGAGGGCAUCCCAUAGCGCUGCUCGCUCGGCCGGCCGCGGCCCUGGGACGGGCUCAGCGCCGGGGGCUGCAGGCGCCGGGGCGGCACCGGCUCUGCACGGCAGAGAACCUCUCGAGGGCGGCCCCACCUCCCGCAGGCCGCGCCCGGCGCUCAGCAGGAACGGCCCCCCGGCCCGCACCGCCUGCAGGAUGCGGCCAACUGCCCCGGCGCUGAGUGAGCCUACGGUCCUCGAGCCUCGGAGGAGGUACCGAGGAGCAGGACAGUCACUCACGGAACGUGAGCGGGUUCCGGUUAUGAUACUCCCACCACGUGGUUAAAUUCUGCGCCAAGUUACAGAAAAAUACAUUUCCUCCCUAAAUUUACAGUAGUUAAAACUACGAUUGGAAUACCGUACGAAAAAGGGGCUGCUCACUCUUCAACAGAACGGCUCGGCUUCCUUUCGUUAAAAAAAUUAACUCAUCGGCAGUACUUGGAAAGCAAUCCAUCAGCCACAGCACGGCCAAACUGUACAGAGGAGAUGGGGACGCGGCUCCGAGGACAUCCAUUCCAAGCAUUUGUUCCGGUGCUCAAAAAGGCACUUAAAGUUAAGAAAACAAUUGCAUUGAAAACCCACAACAAAACAGAAGAAAACCAAAGGCAAUAAUUUAAUAGAAAAACACUGGCAUUUGUACCGCAUCUUCCAAAGGCAGGAAAGAAACCAAAGCCAACGAGCGCGGUUUGCUCUCAACUCGUCGCUGAAAGUAUACAAAGAACCAAAGGAAGAAUCCAGAAGAGCGAAGUGGAUGUUCUGCGGGAGCCGCACGGAGGCGCGGCCGGCGGGGGCUGCACAGCUCCGAGCGCUGCGGGCCCCUCCCGCACAGCCCCUCCCGCACAGCCCCUCCCGCACAGCCCCUCCCGCACAGCGCGGCCGCGGGGCCCAACCGCACCGCCGGGCAUCCGCACGGGUGGGAGGGAACGACCGCGGAGAAAAAUCAACACCCAUAGGAACUAAUGGCGGUCAUUACAAACGUCACCUAUGUAA